GUUUGACCUCGGAUCAGGUAGGGAUACCCGCU
rnacentral:rRNA from 1 species